GACGAACGCUGGCGGCGUGCUUAACACAUGCAAGUCGAACGGUAAGGCCCUUCGGGGUACACGAGUGGCGAACGGGUGAGUAACACGUGGGUGAUCUGCCCUGCACUUCGGGAUAAGCCUGGGAAACUGGGUCUAAUACCGGAUAGGACUCCGGACUGCAUGGUCUGGGGUGGAAAGCUUUUGCGGUGUGGGAUGGGCCCGCGGCCUAUCAGCUUGUUGGUGGGGUGAUGGCCUACCAAGGCGACGACAGGUAGCCGGCCUGAGAGGGUGACCGGCCACACUGGGACUGAGAUGCGGCCCAGACUCCUACGGGAGGCAGCAGUGGGGAAUAUUGCACAAUGGGCGCAAGCCUGAUGCAGCGACGCCGCGUGAGGGAUGACGGCCUUCGGGUUGUAAACCUCUUUCAGCAUCGACGAAGCGAAAGUGACGGUAGGUGCAGAAGAAGGACCGGCCAACUACGUGCCAGCAGCCGCCGUAA
rnacentral:rRNA from 1 species